CCCCUACACCAACCAUAAUAAUAAUAAUUAGUGGUAGUAGUAGUAAGAGUACUUUACAACAUUCAGCCCAAGUAAUUUAAAUUACAGAACAGUAUUACCUUAUUAGCAAACCAUGAAAUUUACACAGAAACAUAUAUGAAUUGUGCUACUCUCAGAAUUCAGAAGCCCAAAAAUGUUUAAAGUAAAUGCAUCCUCAUGGCUACCCUUAGAGUAAGAACAGUGUACCCUCAGAUAGUCAGAGAGGUGUUGCCUGACCAACGUCCUGAAAGAUGGAGCCUUCUAUCCCACGAGAUAUCAAAAUGCAGUUUUCCUGAAGAGAAACAAAGGACAGAAUUCAAUAAUGCUAAAUGGAUGACAUUCAGUAAUGCUAAUAUGAAAAAACAAAUAGGAGCCUUCCAUGGUAAAUUCAGAAAGGAGAUGGGAAAAGAGGUAUGUUGUUAAGGGGCCUUCAGAAACAAUGCCAUCUAAUCAUUCCUAAUUGGUUUUUUUGUUUGUUUUUUCCCGUUUUCUUUAAUACACAUGUAUUGACAGUUAAGGGAAAAUGUUCAAAUGAGAGUUUAGGGGUUUAGCUUUAAGGGCAAAUAAAAGCUUGUACAAAGUAUUUUUUACAUCAAAUGGUUUAGAAGAAGCCUUGAAUUUUAAUAACCAUAUCUACUAGCUUUUUUUUAACAUCUAAAUGAUUUCAACUUUAUAUAAAAAGAAAAAAACUUUGAGCAUAAAAAGGUACUAAAGGAAUUCUAUUUAGUUACAUGCUGUAAGAGUUUCUUUUUAGAAAAAGGUUUCACAUCUAUUGUACUAUAUUAGUAGUCUUAAAGUUCAUUAAAUGUAUUAACAAGUAAGUCAUGUCCACUUUGGGUUUUGCCAAUAGCAUAAACAUCUAAUUACUAAAAAAAAAAAAAACUGUUAUAAAAAUACAUCUUCCAAUAAAGAAGGAAAGUUCCUUGAUUAAAUAUGUAUGAAAUUAAUUUAAUCUUCUGCUUCAUAUCAGACCUAUCUUAUUUUUUAAGUUUCUUUAAAAUUGGGUUAUACAGGGCUGGGGCUGUAGCUCAAUGGUAGAACACUUGCCUUGCAUGCGUGAGGCACUUACAUGCGUGAGCACCACAUAAAGAUAAAUAAAUAAAGAUAUUGUGUCUAUCUACAACUAAAAAAAAGUAUUUAAAAAAAUAGGUUAUACAAUCCAUAUAUAUUGUCCAGAGUUCACUGGAGCAAAAAGUUAACAGUAUGGGGUCAUCAAGUAAAUUAAAUGUUAACAGCAAAAAUUAAAGGACUAAAUUAAAAACAUAGGGCCUUAAUCCUAUAUGAUGAAAAGAAGUAAGGAAAAAGUAUUCCCACAAGAGCUAUAAAGUGCUCACCUAUUUAAAAUAAAUUACUUCUUCAGAGCUGCCUUAAAAGGUUAAUUUGUUUUUAAACAUGUAAGCAUUUCUUAGCCAGCAGGGAAUGUGAUAUAUUUAUUUUCUUAUUUCCCCAUAGAUUUGUUCUGUAAGAAAUAAAUUUUAUAUAUUAAGAAUGUAGCAUAAGGCUUAACUAUCUUAUACAACUGGUCACAUAUCCUCAGUUAUAUUACUGAGAGACCUAGAGAGCCUCAAUUUUACUUCUGUUCAUUAAAAAUAAAUAAGAAAUGAAUGUUAAUACCUGAUUCCCUGUUCUCAACUUCCCAGAUAGGCUUAAUCCCAAGUCACUUACGUCUCAAAGGAAGUCAUGAGGUAUAUAUAAUUUUAUAAGUUUUGUUUUUGUUUUGGGAGGUUGGUUAGUUUGUUUUGUUUUGUUUUGGUUUGGUGUCAGGAAUUGAACCCAGGGUUGCUUAACCACUGAGCCACAUUCCCAGGCUUUUUAUUUUUUAAUUUGAGUCAGGGUCUUGCUAAGGUGCAUAGGGCCUUACUAAGUUGCUGAGGCUGACUUUGAGCUUGUGUUCCUCCUGCCUCAGCCUUCCAAAUCGCUGGGAUUAUAGGUGUGUGCCACCACACCCAACUACAAGUUGCUUUUAUUCAACAUAAAAUUUAACUGUUCAGUUUUCAUUUGAUAAGUUGCUAAGAGCAGAUCCAUUUCCAUUAUUAAUUAAUUCUUUUUAUUAUCUAAAAUUGCUCCCCAAAUAGAAGAAUUUUAAUAGGUAAGACAAAAAGUUAAUAUCAAGCUUUAGUAUACUUCAUGCCACAAUAUGAUAUAUGUCAUAUCAUCUGGAUGUCACUUUUACAAACUAGAACAUAACCAGGAUGUCACUUUUACAAACUAGAACAUAACCAGGAGAAGGAAGCCAAGAGGGUAAAGGGUUUAAAAUCAUAAAACAACUAAAAAAAUAAAAUAUUAAAGAAAACAUUAGAGUAUAUUUGGGGGGUUGGGAUUCAGAUGUCAUCAUGACUAGAAAUAACAAGUUAUAUUUAAAGAAUUAUCACAAAUAGGAAUAAAUUUGUUCUUAGUAGCUUCAGGAGACAUUUGGACUACGGGUGGGAAUAAGAAAGAGGCAUGUUUUCACUCCUAAUAUUAUAAGAUUCCAAACCUGAAUAGGCUAAAUACCCUUUAUUAAGCUCUUAUGAAGUUCACAUUAUUUUAAAAGCAUUGUUCCAAAACACUGGAUUCAUUUUAUCCAAGCCAGCAUUUUCAUACCAAUUUUAAAAAACUAGAUAACUUUAAACAAAUAGAUUUAUCCCUUUUCAGGUAUCAUUAUUGGUAGAGGGUAAGAAGUUUACACUUACUGUAAAUGACUUUCAGUUAAUUUGAUUUGUGGUCAGGAACAUGGAAGCAAGACAAAUCAUCCGGGGUGGGGGGGGGAAAUCUCAAAACAAGCCCAUAAUCUUAACAGAAUUAGAGUUUAAAAUGCUAUAUAGGAAUCUGCAUUUCUAAAAAUUGGAGUUAUAAAUUUCCCAAAAUGGAAGUACAUUCUCAGAUGCGUGUAUAAAUUUUUCACCAUGUAAAUAUCCUUUAAAAAAAGUAUUUGUAUUGAUCUUUCAUUAACAAGUCUAUCCAACUACAAAUAAAUAUGUUAAUAAACACUAUGUUCUCCUAAGCUAAUAAUUAAAGCAUAUACAUAUGUACCAUGAGUAACCUCUAAGGAAUAUAUUUUGUAAUUAUUAUCUUCAUGUGUCAGUUAUCUACAGUGAAAAGAAAUUAUCCAAGUUAUUUGGAAAAAAAAGAAAUUGUCAUUAUCUAAAAUAAAUCUCAAGUUUUUCAUUUUAAAAAGGAAAUGUAGAUGGGUAAAUCUGUAGGAAAAACUCAUAACAUUCCUACCAAUAAAUUUCAUUAAAUGUUGUAUAGAUAUAUAAUUUCAGUAAUAAACUAGAUGCUAUGUAUAUUAAAUACUUAUUGUCCAUCUUGAUGUCUGACACUUUAUAGAACUUUUUUUUAAUAUAUAUAUAUUUUUAGUUGUCAAUGGAUCUUUUAUUUUAUUUAUUUAUAUGUGGUGCUGAGGAUCGAACCCAGGGCCUUGCACAUGCUAGGCAAGUGCUCUACCACUGAGCCACCCCUUCCCCUAUAGAACUUUUUAAAAGAUUUUUUAAAGUACUUUUAUGAAUUUGUUAAACAAAAAAUACAGAAAAACACUUAGAUGUUAUUUUAUUUUAUUUAUAUUUUUAUGGACAUUAAUCCAUUCAAGAGGGGGAGCCUUCAUGACCUUUAGGUGGUAUCUUAAAAAGUAGAAUAUGCACUUAUUACUACUACAGCCACACACCAGUCCACAGAAAAUGGUUGUUUACAUACUGUAUUAGUGUCCUCUUGCUAUAAAAUUACCACAGAUUACUAUAAACUUAGUGGCUUAAAACAACAGAAAUUUAUUUUCUUAUAGUAUUGAAAGUCAGAAGUUCAAAAUGAGUCUUAGCUAGGGGCUGGGGUUGUUGGCUCAGUGGUAGAGCACUUGCCUCACAUGUGUGAGGCAUUGGGUCCAAUUCUCAAUACCGCAUAUAAAUAAAUAAAUAAAGGUCCAUCAACAACUAAAAAUAUAUAUUUAAAAAAAUGAGUCAGCUAAAAUUAAGGCAUAUGCAGAACUCUGAUCCUUUCUGAAGGAGACUUAGGAAAAGAAACUUUCUUAGGAAAAGAAGUUUUCUUGCCUUUUUCAGCUUCUGUAGAGCUUACAAGCUACCACUUGGCUCUUGGCCCCUUUCCACCCUCAAAGACAGCAAUGGCUAGUUGAGUUUAUUUCACAUCUCAUCACAGCUACUGACUUUUGCUUCCCUCUUUCACACUUAAAAGACCCUGUAAUUACAGUGGAUCUACUCAGAUAAUCAAGAUAAUCUAUUUGUAGGUAGAGUAGCAGCCUUAACUUCUGUUCUCAAUCUGAAUUCCCUCUUGCCAUGUAGCAUGACAUAUUCAGAUUCUAGAGUCUUGAACAUUUCCUGUAGGCCAUUAUUCUACCUACCAUAAUUAUGAUUAAUUUUUCCUUUAGUUUUCUUCAUGACCCAUAUGGACUCAUCUGUCUCUGAAACUGUAUGCAAAAUAUUCAAAUAUGCACAUUAUUCUAGAGAGAGAGUUCAUAACUUUCAACAAAAUUUCAAAGUUUAAGAAUCAUUGGAGCCAGGCCCAGUGGCACAUGCCUGAAAUCCCAGUGGCUCCCGAAGCUGAAACAGGAGGAUCAUGAGUUCAAAGCCAGCCUCAGCAAAAGUGAGGCACUAAGCAACUCAGUGAGACCCUGUCUCUAAAUAAAAUACAAAAUAGGGCUGGGGAUGUGGCUCAGUGGUUGAGUGGCUCUGAAUUUAAUCCCCAGUACCACCCUCCCCCAGAAAAAAAGAAUCAUUGGAUUCACUCAUAGAAUAUCAGUGUUUCUUAGAAGAACAGUUUGGCUAAUGCAACAUUAUAGAUAUGCUCUUUAACAUAUACAUUAAUAAUAACACCUUGAUAUGACUUGAAAGUUUUUUCUUGCAUUGUUCCUUGUUUUUUUAAGUAAUCAAAAUCAUCCAAAUUAUACUUUAUAUCUUGCAUUUAUAAGCAGUUUUCAUGUUACUGUGUAUCAUCUUUUAAUGAUGCUAAUAGUACAUGGAGUAUAUUUUCCACAAUUUAAAAUAGAUUCUUCCUACAAUUAGACAUUUCACUCCCCUUGUGCCUUUCUAUAUAACCCCAAUUUUUUGGCUAUUAUAUUUAAUGCUGGAAUGGGCAUAUUCCUGCCUAACCCCUACACAGGUCUUUCUCCAUAUUUUGGAUUUAUUUCACCUAAAUCAGAUUUCUAAAAUUAGAAUUUCUGGUAGGCAAGACUUGAAUAUUUUCAUAACCCUUUUACUUUCCACAAAAGCUGUUUUAUAUUACCACUAGUUCUUAUAAGAAUACCAUAAAUGUGAAGUGGUCCAGCUUUUUGUUAUUGUUUUUGUGUCUUUUUUCUUUUUGGUCUUUAAGGGUAGCCUUUCUGUAUAGAAAAUACUAUGCGGGGGUCACUUUUUUUUUUUUUUUUUUUUUGGCACUACUGAGGAUUGAACCUAAGGGUACUUUACCACUGAGCUACAACUCCAACUUCUUUUUUGGGGGGUAGGACAGUACUGGGGAUUGAAGUCAGGAACACCCAAACACUGAGCCACAUCCCCAGCCCUAUUUUGUAUUUUAUUUAGAGACAGGGUCUCACUGAGCUGCUUAGGGCCUCACCAUUGCUGAGGCUGGAUUUCAACUUGUUAUCCUCCUACCUCAGUCUCCAUAGCCACUGGGAUUACAGGCCUGUGCCACGUCACCCAGGUCCAACUCCUUUUUUAUCUUGAGACAGGGUCUCACUAAAUUGCCUAGACUGGUCUUGAACUUUCAAUCCUCCUGCCUUAGUUCUUGAAUAGAUGGGAUUACAAAUGUGUGUCACUAUGUUCAGCUUGGGGUCACUUAAUUUUUUUUUAAUAUUUUUGUAGUUUUUGAUAGACCUUUAUUUUAUUUAUUUAUAUGCGGUGCUGAGAAUCAAACCCAGUGCCUCACACAUGCCAGGCAAGUGCGCUAUUGCUGAGCCACAGCACCAACCCCGGGGUCACUUAAAUUUUGAUAAAAAUUAUGAACUAAAAAACUUGUCUUGGGCUGAGGAUGUGGCUCAGUGUAAAAGUACUUGCCUAGUAUGUGUGAAGCCCUGAGUUCAAUCCCCAGCACUGCCAAAAAAAAAAAAAAAAAAACCAAAAAAAAAACAAAAAAACCAAAAAAAAAAACAAAAAAACUUUUUUUUGGUACUAGGGAUUGAACCCAGGGUCACUUUAACCAUUGAGCCAAAUCCCUACCCCUUUUUUAAUUUUCAUUUUGAGAUAGGGUCCCACUAAGUUGCUUAGGGCCUCAGUAAAUUACUAAAGGUGGCUUGGAACUUGGGAUCCUCCUGCCUCAGCCUCCCCAAUACCUAGGACUACAGGCAUGUGCCAUCACUGCCUAGCUCUUUCCUUAGCUCUUAAAUUCAACUUGCAAAUUCGUCUAUUAUUUGUAAAUUUUAAUAAUAAGCGCUUCAAGAGGACUUUUUAUGUUUUUAAACUGCCUUAGACUGCAUUGACAAAUUCUAUUUUCUUAAGUACUUAAUGUUUGAUUAAUAAGCAAUAUCUCUGAGUACUUAAAUUCUAAAUCUAGUAUACUUUCAGAGAAUCUUAAAUUCUUUUAAAAGCCCAGAUAGUCUUCAUAAGCAUCAUUAAGAUUCUCUAUCUUUUAAGACUAAUCUGAUAAAUAUAUCCUAUGAUAGGUCCAGUUUUCUUAACCAUCAUAAUUUAACAUACACAGAUCAUUCCUAAGCCUAAUGCUAACAUGGUAAUAGUAUAGGCUACAAAAAUAAAGAGUAUAGAAUACAAAAUCAGUUCUGUAAUUUUAUAUAUUCCUUGGAUUAAAAACUAUAACCCCCUGGUAAAAACUGUCAUCCCAAGCAUGUUAGAAUUGCAUCACAGGCACUGAUUUACCUACCAUUCAGAGCUUCCCAAAUGGGAUGAUCUUGCCCACAUCUCUCAUAUUAAAAUUACAAAUAACCUAUUUUUUAAAAUUUAUUGCCAAGAUUGUAGGUAGCUUUCAUUACAACUUAGUUGGUUUUGUUUAUUUUUGGAUACUCAAUGGUCAACCAAUUGGAACCUUCACCUCUUUCGUUCUGUGACUUAGUUCUCUUAGUCUGCAAACUCUCAAGUCACACCAGCAAAUGGAAUCUAAUUAUUCAUGCCACAAAAGAAGCAAAUGUUUUAAAAAUAGAUAUGUAAGAAUUGUGUAAUCCAUCAAUCUUUUAUUAAUACAUGUUUUCAACUGUUAAUUUUUUUAAAAUAUUUAUUUUUUUAGUUGUAGUUGGACACAAUACCUUUAUUUAUUUUUAUUUAUUUAACUAUUUAUUUUUAUGUGGUUUUGGGGAUCAAACCCAGGGCCUCACCCAUGCUAGGCAAGCGUUCUACCGCUGAGCCACAACCCCAGCCCCUCAACUGUUAAUUUUUAAAAGUAAUUCAGUAACAAUGAGAUGAGAUGAUGAAAACUUUACAUAUCUCUUCUUUACAUUCAUUUUGAGAUUAUAUCUUUUUAAAUACUAAUUAAUUAUGGGUUUGAUUAUAAUUUAUUUUUCUUCUCAUUAACUAAAUACAAAGCCAUUCUUUUCUUUCUCACAGACUUAUCUCUUUAUAUAUUGAGGUUAUUUAACCUUUACCUGCAGUAUAUAUUGCAAAUAUAUUUUAGUUUCUUUUUAUUCAGGUAUCUUUUUAUUUAUAGUGAAACUUUUUUCUGUAUAUAUAUAUAUUACAAAUAUUUGGGGGGCCACCAAGUAAUGUUUACCAGGAUUCUGUGUGGAGCCUUUUCAAUCAUUCUACAUACAUUCCUCAGUGAUCUCAUUUACUAAACACAUCAUGUAAACUACCACCUAUAAUCAGUCAACUACUAAAUCUAUAGAUACCAUGUAAACUAGGCCUUUUCCCUAAAUUCCAAACUUCUAAUCUGAAACUCCAGUUUUCUUUAAGGUGGGAAUGUAAAGAUACACUUGGCCCACAAGCAUCUCAAAAUCAGUAUGUCACAUAUCAAAAUUAACCAAACUUUUCUUUUUUCUUCUCUCUUCUUUUUUGUACUGGGGAUUAAACUCAAUGAUGCUCUACAACUGAGCUACACCCCAGCCCUUUUUAUUUUUCAUUUUAAGACAGGAUCUCGCCAAAUUGCUUAGGGUGUUGCUAAAUAGCUGAGGCUGGCCUCAAACAUGCAGUCCUCCUACCUGUGACUCCCGAGUCACUGAGAUUACAGGCAUGCCCCAUAGUUCUAUUUUCUUUCUCUCUCAGUCAAUGUUACCAUCAGCCAACUAGCUCAGCUGCCCACAAUAGAAAUCUAGGAAUCAUGCUAUUAUACCAUAUCCAUAUUGAAAGGCUAUCCAUAUAGAAAGGGUCCUAAGCCUCUUUAGUCUUACCUCCAACUUUUUCCAUCCUUCCUUACUCUUUUCCAGCAAUAUAGAUAUUGAACUUACUGGCCUUUCCUGCUUAGGACAUUAACAUAUGGCCUCCUCCUUUGCCUGGGAUGUUCUUCCUCCCUUUUUGGCCAAGCCAAUUCCUCUUUGUCCUUUCAAGUCUGUGCUUAGCCAUCCCACUUUAAGAAGGCCUUAUUUAAAUAUCUAGUGUUAGGUGUAUGCUUUCACAGCAUCUUGUAUUUUUCUGUUACUUGUAAUUGGUAUUAUUAUUAAUUAAUUUAAUAUGUCUCUUUAAUGAGACUGGACCAUAGAGAAGAAACUAUGGCUGUUUUAUUCACCCCACAUUCUCAGUGCCUAGCAAAGACUACAGUGUACAGGCACAGAUUAGGUGCUAAAAGUUAACGUGAGAAUACUUACAUGAGUACUGAAUAAAUAAAUCCAAUCUCUUUUAUACCUCAUUUCAUUCACUUGCUACUUUUUCUAGUUCAUGUACUCAUUAUUUCUUGCCUGGAUACUAUAAUAGCUUCCAAAAGACUCCCUACCACCUCUCCCACAUUUUCUAAUCUAUUUGCUAAUAUCCUCAUUAAAUGAAUUCCUAAAAUACAAUCAAGUCAUAUCAUGGAUUGGUUUAAGAUUUUCUAGUUGCAUCAAUAUAAAGGUGGGUCAGAAAGCUCUUCAUGGUUUGACUUCUAUCCACUUGAGCAGGCUGAGCUUCCUCAAUUAUAGGCUAUACAUCACAGCAAACUACCUGAUUUUCUUAAACAUGCCAGGUUCUCUCUAUCUGCCCUUUUUCCUAACAUUCCAGUGAUUCUGCUUAAAAUGCUUUCUUUGGCCUACUUCUUUCUCUUCUAUAACUAGGAUAACUAAUUUCAAUCCUUUAAGGCUCUGCUGAGGUGUCCUUCAAGACACAGAACAACUGUCACCUCCUCUAUAAAAACUUCCUCUCGAGCUACCUAUUUCUAACCUGGGCUAAAUGGUCUUCCUUUAUAUUUGUUGAAGUAUAAUUUUUUAGAAAAAUCUUUCUUUCAUUAGACAUUCAGCUCCUUGCUAAAAGAAACUAUAUAUUUUCAUAUCUAUAUCUAAUUCUGGUAUGGACUUUGGUAAAUGUUUGAUUAAUUUUGCAUGGCAAGAUAUAUUAAAACCCAUAAACACAUACCAAUCUUUUGAGAAAGAAUAUUUGUACUUCUGGGAAAUCUUCCAAUCAUUUGAUAAGAAUCUAAAUUAAAAAAAAAGAUAUGCACAAAUGUUCACAUCAGAAUUAGUUAUGGUAGCAAAAAAUGGAAAAAAAACAGGAAUAGAAGAAUGGUAGAAUCUGCUGAAUGAUAUGUAGCACAGCAAUAUAAAUGAAGAUUGUGGAAAUGAUGUAAUUCAAAUAUUUGCUAUGUGAAAUGAAAAAAGGUUAAAAAAAUUAUGUCAUACUAUGAUUCUACAAAUUAAAUGAUUAGACAUUUACUAAAAGGGAACAUGAAAAAUGUAUGGAUUGUUAUUUCCUUUACUCAGAACUUUAUAUAUUAUUGAUAUAUCUUCUUAAUUGCAAUUAAAAUAAUUAAAAAUUAGCCUGGUACACUAACAAACACUGUAAUCCCAGUGACUUGGGAGGCUGAGGCAGGAGGAUCACAAGUUUAAGGCCAACCUGGCAACUUAGUGAUACCCUGUCUCAAAAUGAAUUUUUGUUUAAAAGGGAUAGGAUGUAGCUCAGUGAUAGAUACCCUUGCCUUCAAUUCCCUCUACCACAAGUAAAAUUAAUUAAUUUAAUCUGUGUCAUGAACUAAUUAUAUAUACUUGUAUAUGUAUAUUUGUAUGCAUGUACACAUACAUGUAUAUAUUUUUAGCUCUGUGUCCCAAAAGGUCCAAGAAGCAAAGACACCUCAGUAUAGCAAUGAACACACCUAGUUCUGGUCCCUAAUAUUAUUUUCCACUAACAGGAAACGGAACUCCUUAGAAAAAAGGCUAAUUCUAGGACCGAGGUAGGAUAAGUAUAAAAUAAAUGUAGAAUAUUUUUUAAUACCAGAAAGUAAGGAAGUGCUCUAAAAAAUGGUGUGGAUAUGUCAAAAAGUCAAAGGAGAAAGAACUUCUACUAGCUAAAUCUAAGAAAACUUGAACAUCAAAAUAACUAAACACACAGUUAUAUUAGAAUGAAAGACCAUGAUAUAGGUAUCUUACCCUCAAGUGGCUCAAAAACAUUUUUUGAUAUUAUAUCCCUAUACUCAUCAAAAUCUUCCAUUAUAUUUAGCAUGCAUUUAUAUUUAGCUGAGGCUGGCUUUGAACUUGUGAUCCUCCUGUCUCAGUCUCCUGAGCCACUAGGAUUAUAGGCUUGGGCCACGCAGCCAGCUCAAAAAAAUUUUGUACAUAAAUAUGCACAUAUAAACAGAGAUGGCACAAACAAGAAUAAGCAAACACAGAAAUGGGAAGACAUAGGAAUUCAUAAGUUCAUGUAGAUAAUAAAUAGGUAAAUAAAUAAAUAAAGAAGAACUCUACUUGCAAAUAGAAUGUCGUGGGCUGCAAAUGAGGAGGCAAUACUAAAAUUUGCUCAGUUAUUUUGUAACCAUCAUGGUAAAAUAUAUCAGCAAUAAUGGAUGCUAAAUAUUAUGGAAGAUUUUGAUGAGGAUCAGGAUAUAACAUCACAAAUCUCUCCCACAAAUUGCUUAUUUACUGCCAGUAAGUAAAAAAAAAAAAAAAAAAGUAACUACACAAUGAAAAAUUCAAAUCCCAUACUGAUGAAGUGAUCAAAAUUAAGAUCAUCACUGAAAGUCAGAUGGAUAUCAUGUGGUUCCAAAUGUGAUACUCAGAGAAGGAGACAAUAUUACCUAUGCAAUAGUCCAGAUGAGAAUGCAUAAUUUCAAUCCAGUCAUGAGGAAACAUCAAACACAAAAUGAGGAACAUUCAACUAAAAAGAGAGUAGAGGGAGAAGCUGAAUAUUAAGUUAAAUGUUCUAAAUAAGUUAAUUUUCUUCAAAUAUGUCAAGGUCAUAAAAGACAAUGAAUCAAAGGAUGAAAGUUUCAUAAAGAAAAGGAGGCUAAAGAGAUAUGACCACUGGGUGCAGAACCUGACAUAAGACUGGAUCCAGUAAAGGAGGGGGAUAUGCUAUAAAGGAUCAACUUAUCAAAUUGGAAUAUGGAUAAUAAAGUAUUGUUUCAGUGUAAAUUUAUGAAGGGGUGAGGGGCCAGAAUCUUAUAGCCUAAUGGAAAAUGGUUGAGGAAAAAAUGUGAUAUAAAAUUACAUAUAUAUGAAAAGAAAGAACUCACCCAUGUAUAAAAGCAAGCAAAUUAUAUAGAUUUUUAAAAUUAUUUUUAUUUUUGGAAAUUUUUUGAAAAUUUGAAAUUAUUACCAAUGUAAAAAGUUUAAAAAAUGAGUCCACUUCAGAGAAACAAGACCAACAUGAAAGUAAAAGGAACUUUAAAAAUUCUGCUAAACAGAUUGUUUUCAAAAUGCUCACUAGUAUGUAUUGUUUUCAAGUUAUUUUUCAGAAUGUUUUCUUCUUUUAUUUUUUAUUUAUAUAUGACUGUUUUCUUCUUUUAAGGGUAUCCAUUUUAAAAAAAAAAUGAACAGACUGGGCUGGGGUUGUGGUUCAGUGGUACAGUGCUUGCCUAGCAUGCAUGAGGCAUUGGGUUCAAUCCUCAGCACCACAUAAAAAUAAAAUAAAGAUAUUGUAUCCACCUAAAACUAAAAAAUAAAUAUUAAAAAAUGAACAGACCUACAGCUUUCACAGUUUUAUCCAAAUAAGUUAAUAUGUUGAAGCUAACAUUCCAUCAGUUGUAUUCUACUUAUUAGAAAAUAGUAGGGAGUGGGGAGUACAGAAAUUGAAGACUUCUAUUCUCCACACUACCCAUAUUUACCAUUCAUUUGCUGGUGAUUGCAAUCCAGUUUGCAGAAUUAAAGCCCCGGAUUUUAAACUAUGACUUCAGUUCUUAUGACAAGAAGCAUAUGCAGAGACACAAACUAAGAGGGCAGAAAGGGGUAGAGAAGAGAUGAUUGAUUAACUCUUACUGUAUUGAAGAAAGAAUGCUGAAAACUUAAGCUUACAGAGUUCUUUCUUCUCAUAAAGUAUAUAAUUUUUUGGAGUUUUAAAAUUCUGGGCAGAUAAUCCUUACUAAUUUUUUACCCAUGAGUUUAAUAGUCUGAAGUAAAAGGCUCCCCCCCUCCCUUUUUCCCCCCCUGUUGAGAUUUAACUCAGGAAUUUGCACCCCCUUGUGGUCAAACAUAAAAUUCUUAGCUUUGGAAAGAUCUUUUUUUUUUUCCAGUUGGACUUUUUGUUCAAGCACAGGAACUGUUGCUUUUGUUUCCUCCUAUUUUAGCAAAUCAAGAAGCUUUAGUGGAAGAUUUCUGGUUUAUUAAAUAAUAUUUUAAAUAAAAUAAGACUUAAAUAUGAAAGCCACCUCUACAAAAGGUGCAAAAUGGAGAUUCAAACUCAGGAAGUUUGGCUUCAGAUUUGAUCCACUUAAAUAGUUCAUAAAAGUGUCAGAGAGAUAUAAGACAAAUAUACUCUGCCAUGUUAAUUGUUGAUAAUUUGAAAAUGCUAAAAGCCAUUUCUUUUUCCAAUUAUACCUCAAUAAUACAAACCAUGCUAGCCUUCUCCCAUUUCCUUACAUCUUUGUACUUCAGAUAGUCAUACUCAUUAUCUUAUUCAACCCUGACAAUAAUGGGAUAUGUGUUUUUGUACUCGGUUAUAGUUCAUCUCGAAUUGUCUUACAACAAAAACUGGGACAAAAUAGUUAAUAUCCCAGAUUUUAGACUGCUGGAUUCCUUAGAAAAUCCAUUUUGGGAGCUGAGUACCAUAGCCCAGUACUGUAAUCCCAGCUACUUGUGAGGCUAAGCAAGAAGAUCCUAAAUUUGAGGCCAACCUGGACGAUAUGGUAGUCCCUGUCUCAAGAAAAAAAAAAAAUCAAUCCACUUUGUGAUUAAGGAAAAAGUAAGCAAUCAACAAUAAUCUUAAAAUACAAUCAUAAGAACAGUUAGUUGGUUUUGUUUCAUCUUAACCAGCUUGAUGUCAAGUAUGAUAAAUCUCCCAAGAAAAUGAUUAGAUGAGAUUUUUUUAAGGAAGGUAUUAAAAUAUUGACAAUUUUAGUAUCAUUUAUUGUCCUAUCAUAGCGUCCAGUUUUUGAAGAUGGACACAGGUUUGCAUGAGUCUUUACUUCUACUUAGUUGUAAGACUUUGGGGCAGAUUUCUUAAUAUAAGCGUAUGUCAUAAUCUGCAAAAUGAAGAUAAUAUCUACUUCAUAGGGCUGUUGUAAGCAAUAAAGGAGCUUAAUCCAGAAAGCGUUUUUUCAGCACAGUAAGGAGUACAGUCAAUACGUGGUGACUGUUACUACUUUUUUUUUUUUUCUGCGUUGCGUUGCACAACGGGAACCGUCUCUGCUGGAUUCAGUAAUUUACCACGCCAUUAUAUAAAUGACAUCCAAAGACUGCCCAUUCCUAUCUCCAAAACAGAACUGAAAGUCUAAGGACAAGUAAGGCGGUAAGAAAAACUGGAUUCGAUGAAAAUGGCUUAGUAACAAGCACCCUAGGACGGAGAAGGGCUCUAGCAAACUUAAGUAAUCAUUAACUCCAGGCUGGGGCGUGCGCGCGCACACACACACACACCACAAGGGACGGAAAACCACGCCUCCUGUGUACUCAGAUUGGAUCCUACAGUGCUAAGUGGCCCGAGUUCCAGAAUCUGACAGACGCGGACUCAGCCACGUGUUUGGUACCUGUGCUACCUCGGGCAGAUUAUUUAACGUUCCCAAUCAUUGGUUUCCUGGUCUUAGCCGAGAAUAAUAUCAGUUCCUACCUCGUAAGGCUGUCCCGAGGCUUAAGUGCAAUAGCUCUGAUAAAGCUCUGGCGUACUUCAAGAGCUCUACACAGCGACGGGGCUGUUUUAAGUACACGUGUAUCCAACACAUGAUCUCAAAAGGCACAUUCCGUUGUCCGUAGUUUAGCAAGACGUUUUUCUUUUAGCCUAAGCUGGACCCUAAUUUGUUUACCUCCAACGGUAGACUGACUGCCUGUCUCCUGACAAGCAUCUGUGGACUCUCGGGCCCACAGUAUGUAAGGUCACUCCAGUCCACCGCCGUACAAAGGCGCUGCACGCACGCGCAAGAAAAGCAGCAAGUGAACGGCAGCCGAGGAAGCUAAGUGUGAGCUGCGAACAACCGUGCGUCUGCGCAUGUACAAGGUGUGUGUAUGGGAGGGGAUGAGGGUAGGAGUUUACGCAUGCGCAAAUGUCGGGACAACAGGGGGGUUAGAGGUGGUAUUGACAGCUGUGGAGGCAGCCCGCGUUCCCGGCAUGCCCCGGGGCGGCGGGGUUGGCUCUAACGAAUUUGAAUGAAGAGCCUCAGCGCUUUCGGCGCCAUUUUCGAGUGAUGCCUGAUCUCAUCAAUCUAGCGGGAGAGACGGGAUAACCUGUCUGAGAGUAUAGUGCCACUGGCGCUCCGCUGAAAAACCACUAAAAAAAAAAACACCAAAAAUAACUUGGAGCAAAAGACAAUCCGCGAAGCUUCGCCAGGGUUGACGCAGUGGGUUUUGACCUUUAGGAGAGAGCCAAUUCUGGAAAACAAUCUAACUUCUUUGAUUGAAUACACACAUAAUGCUUUGGAACAUGAUAGGAGAUUAAGCUGGGAGCAAGGGCUAGGAGAUUGCUGCUGCCUGUCAGCUGUUCUACAGAAUAGCAUCAAUAUGCGGAAAUGAUCGUCAAAGAAGCCUGCACCCAUCAUUUUUUACAGGCCAGGUUUAAUAAUGACAAAAUGAAGACUACAAUAAAACAGCUCCCUACUAGCCCAGGAAUUCUUACCUUGUGAUCUCAUUUCUAAUCAAAGAAAACAAGUAUUCAGAUUGCCUGCAGCCCCUCAAGAGCCAAGAUAUGAUGCUUUGAAGAAGAAGAAGAAGAAGAAAAAAAGCCUGUAAGAAAUAAUUGAAAGGAAACAGGCUUAAAAAAUACAAGUUUACCCUAAACGAUUUAGGAAGUCUGUGGCUCUUACCAAAUCAGGUGUGAAUUUUGAUACCACAACUGCCCAAAAAAAGGUCCUAGUUACAUGUGACUUACGUGCCUGGUCUGCUGCCUUUUACCUGACUCCUAAAUCAUGAGUUGGACACAAUACCUUUAUUUCACUUAUUUAUUUUUAUGUGGUGCUGAGAAUCGAACCCAGGGUCUCAUGCGUGCAAGGUGAGUGCUCUACCACCGAGCCACAACCCCAGCCCCCAUAUUUCCCAUUUUUGUCCAUGUAAGGUUUAGCUUUUUGGGGGGUGGUGGGUAACUCUACAUUGAACCUCCAAGGGUGCUUAACCACUGUGCCACAUCCCCAGCCCUUUUUAUAUUUUAUUUAGAGACACAGUCUUGCUAAGUUGCUUAGGGCCUCACUAAGUUGAGGCUAGCUUUGAAUUUGUGAUCCUCCUUUUAGUCUCCCGAGCCACUGGAAUUACAGGCAUGCACCACUGUGCCUGGGUAGAUUUUAGCUCUUCAUCCAUUGAAAGAUUUUUGCAUUUGAUCAAUUUCAUAGUUUAGAUAAAUAUACUAAGGCAUUUUAAAUGAUGAAGUUUUUGAUGAAAUUUUUUAUAACUUUUCAUCUUUAGUAGGCCUAAUAGAAGGCCUAAAAUUUGUUGAAGUAUAAUUCUGUGGAAAAGCUGGUGGGCAAUUGUGUUUUUACUUGGUUGUUGCUAUUCCAGAAAUCCAAGUAUUUUUAGUACUAUAUUUUCAUCUCUUUAUAUCUUGACGUUUUGUUUAAAAACAGUAAAUUCAGUGCCAUAUUGAUCUCUUCAGUGUUAGGAAGGUAAUAAAAUUUUCUAAAUUUCUUUUUGAAAAUUUCCUCCUAGUAGAUUUUACAUUAUGAAACUUGAUGCUACAAUCAAUUUCCUCAGCAAACAGGAGGUUUAGAAUGCUCUUAGCAAAUCUGUUGUUACUCCACCACAGUCUCUGAUACAGGGUCUCACUGAGUUGCUUCACACCUCACCGUUGUUGAGGGCUGGCUUUGAACUCGCAAGCCUCCUGCCU